AUGAACGCUAGCGACAGGCUUAACACAUGCAAGUCGAGGGGCAGCACUGGUAGCAAUACCGGGUGGCGACCGGCGCACGGGUGAGUAACGCGUAUGCAACUUACCUAUCAGAGGGGGAUAACCCGGCGAAAGUCGGACUAAUACCGCAUGAAGCAGGGGCCCCGCAUGGGGAUAUUUGCUAAAGAUUCAUCGCUGAUAGAUAGGCAUGCGUUCCAUUAGGCAGUUGGCGGGGUAACGGCCCACCAAACCGACGAUGGAUAGGGGUUCUGAGAGGAAGGUCCCCCACAUUGGUACUGAGACACGGACCAAACUCCUACGGGAGGCAGCAGUGAGGAAUAUUGGUCAAUGGGCGUAAGCCUGAACCAGCCAAGUCGCGUGAGGGAUGAAGGUUCUAUGGAUCGUAAACCUCUUUUAUAAGGGAAUAAAGUGCGGGACGUGUCCCGUUUUGUAUGUACCUUAUGAAUAAGGAUCGGCUAACUCCGUGCCAGCAGCCGCGGUAAUACGGAGGAUCCGAGCGUUAUCCGGAUUUAUUGGGUUUAAAGGGUGCGUAGGCGGCCUUUUAAGUCAGCGGUGAAAGUCUGUGGCUCAACCAUAGAAUUGCCGUUGAAACUGGGGGGCUUGAGUAUGUUUGAGGCAGGCGGAAUGCGUGGUGUAGCGGUGAAAUGCUUAGAUAUCACGCAGAACCCCGAUUGCGAAGGCAGCCUGCCAAGCCAUGACUGACGCUGAUGCACGAAAGCGUGGGGAUCAAACAGGAUUAGAUACCCUGGUAGUCCACGCAGUAAACGAUGAUCACUAGCUGUUUGCGAUACAGUGUAAGCGGCACAGCGAAAGCGUUAAGUGUCCCACCUGGGGAGUACGCCGGCAACGGUGAAACUCAAAGGAAUUGACGGGGGCCCGCACAAGCAGUGGAGUAUGUGGUUUAAUUCGACGCAACGCGAAGAACCUUACCAAGUCUUGACAUCCUGCGACGAUGCUGGAAACAGUAUUUUCCUUCGGGACGCAGAGACAGGUGGUGCAUGGUUGUCGUCAGCUCGUGCCGUGAGGUGUCGGCUUAAGUGCCAUAACGAGCGCAACCCUUGCCACUAGUUACUAACAGGUGAUGCUGAGGACUCUGGUGGGACUGCCAGCGUAAGCUGCGAGGAAGGCGGGGAUGACGUCAAAUCAGCACGGCCCUUACAUCCGGGGCGACACACGUGUUACAAUGGCGUGGACAAAGGGAAGCCACCUGGCGACAGGGAGCGAAUCCCCAAACCACGUCUCAGUUCGGAUCGGAGUCUGCAACCCGACUCCGUGAAGCUGGAUUCGCUAGUAAUCGCGCAUCAGCCAUGGCGCGGUGAAUACGUUCCCGGGCCUUGUACACACCGCCCGUCAAGCCAUGGGAGCCGGGGGUACCUGAAGUCCGUAACCGAAAGGAUCGGCCUAGGGUAAAACUGGUGACUGGGGCU
rnacentral:rRNA from 1 species